UCAGGGGGCCCGAGGCAGCCGCGUGUCUUUCGGGACGCGAGGAAAGUCCGGGCUCCACGAAACAAGGGUGGCGGGUAACGCCCGCCGGUCCUGUCUUCGGGCAGGGCAAGGGAAAGUGCCACAGAGAGCAAACCGCCGAUGGCCUCGCAAGAGGGACAGGCAAGGGUGAAAGGGUGCGGUAAGAGCGCACCGGGGGGCCGGCAACGGCAACCGCAUGGCAAACCCCACCCGGAGCAAGGCCGAAUAGGGGUCUCGCGCCCGCCGCAAGGCAGGGUAGGCGUGUUUCGCGCCGAGAGACCCGGGUUGGCUGCUAGAGCCGUCGAGCAAUCGGCGGAGCAGAUGAAUGGCUGCCACCGCGCGGCCGGUCCCUUCGGGGAUACCGCGUGCGGAUACAGAACCCGGCUUAUGACGGCCCCCUGACGUU
rnacentral:RNase_P_RNA from 2 species